rnacentral:antisense_RNA from 1 species
GAGGACGUUAUCACUUUAAUAUAGAGGGAAAAAGAGGCUGUCUCAUAAGGGUCUGACCUCAUGUGAAUUUAUCAAUAUAUAGCACAAUUAUCCUACAUUAUGUCCUAUAUAUUGUGUUAUGGGGUCUGACCCUUAGGCUUUUGAGACAGCCUCGUCAACGAAUCCCAUUAUUUACUCGUCAAAGUAAACCCGGGAGUCAUAAGUCUUCAUCUUAAAAAAUUCCAGGGGUAGGGGGAACAAC